GUCGUGUUCAAUGGUGGUGUACUGUAUAUUCUAUAGAUAACAUAGAUGUUAGUAUAUUGUAGUUUAUAGCGGUUUGUAUUAUGAAUAAAACACUGUACACAUUACACAUUUUAUGUCGGUACGAUACUGUAAGAAAUGGAACGCAAUUUGAAUAGUUGUAAUACUUGCCGCAUGGCGGCGUCACUGCAGUUAUGUCAAAAGAAAAACCCUUGUUGUUGUUAACCCAUUUUUGUAAUAACCAUUCCUUCAUCAAAAUAUCUAAUAUCAGUGCUUUAUUUAUGAAAUCUUCUACAUGGUAGCAGAGCGUGGUUCAAAAAUAAAGUAAUAUCAAAGUUACGAUAAGAUAUCGAAGUUUCUCCGUAAUAAGCAAUUGUACCGGUCAUUUUGAAGGUUAUAGUAUAUAUAUACUCUGUCAACGUUACUAUUGUCUUUCUAAAUAGUCUGUGGUUAUAAUGUGAAUGAUUAACGCCCUCGCAAUUAGAACUACCAAUGAGCAUCAUCAUUGCAACGAAUUGUCAUUGCACUGACGUACGUCCGAAUGGCGCCUGCAUAAAUAGGCGUGCAACGCGACUCGCAGCCUUUUAGAGCCAUUAUCUUUGGCCGUGGCACUACAUAUUCACAUACCUCGUUGUUCCCGCUAGGGUUCUUCUCCACGGUGUUUCUUCUUUACGGCGUGCCUUUUUCUUCCACGUGCUACCACGUGCGCUCCCGCUGCGCGCAUACACGGUGCACUUCUACGGUGCGGAUCACGGUGCCGUAGCAGACGGACGGGAGAGCUGCCUCCCGACCACGUCCAGCUGCGCACCACCAUCGUCGGGUGUGCUGACCCCGACCGACUGCCAGCGAGCUGCCGCCGGAGCCGACCACGUGCACACUACCAACGUCGCGAGAGCUGACCCCGACCACGUGCACACCCUGCUCACCUACGUGGCCUUCCAACUGCCCGGCGAGCUGCCGCCGGAGCCAACCACGUGCAACAUCUACGUGCCGUUCGCCUGGAUCGGAGUUCCCCAGGCCAGUGACUCGUGUUGCAUAACACCAGCAACCAGUACCGAGUGUAACGCGGAGGUGUAAAAAUAAAGCUCGUACCACGUAAUUACCCUGAGUUUUCAAUUGUCUCCCUUCUAUCUGCGGGCAGGUCCCCAACCGCCGCAAUACGCUACACACGUGGCCGUUAUGAAUUCGCAUAUGUUCAAUCUGGAAAAAUUUAAUGGUCGCGACAAUUUUGACACCUGGAAGUUUAGUGCGAAAACCUACCUUGAACAUGAGGGACUACGGAAUUGUGUGGAACCCAAACCAGAUCAAACUGUCGACCUGUCGAAAGACAUUUUAGCUAAGUUCAAGCUGAUUUUAUUGAUAAAUUCCCAGAACUAUGUACACAUACAGGACUGCAAAACCGCGAAAGAGGUAUGGUCUAACCUACAUAAGGCAUUCGAUGAUAAUGGUCUCACCAGAAAAGGUGGUUUACUCAACGAAUUAAUAAACACAUCAAUUGAGUCUAGCAGUGGUAUAGAGGACUAUGUCAGUAGAAUUAUGAAUGCUGCCCACAAAUUGCGAAAUAUCAACUUUGAUGUAAACGACGAAUGGCUUGGCACAUUGAUGUUGGCCGGUCUGCCAGAUCAGUACAAGCCUAUGAUUAUGGGACUCGAAAACUCAGGAGCUAAAAUCAGUGCAGACCUAAUUAAAACCAAACUAUUGCAAGAAAUAGAAAUUACCAUUUGAAUAGUGCGCUUUACUCACAUACAAGAAAAUUUAAACAUAAUUCACAUAAGUCAAAACCCCCCUCAAGACAAACCAAAGGUCCCAGGUGUUACAAUUGUAAUGGUUAUGGACAUUAUGCAAAA